rnacentral:misc_RNA from 1 species
CUGAGUGAGGGUCGCUCAGGCCCGACCUCCCACCCUGUGUUUUUGUGACCUUGUUGCUUUGGCGGGCCCGCCUCGACGAGAGGCCGCCGGAAGCUCACCGCUUUGGGCCCGUGCCCGCCAGUAGCCCCCUUAAAUUCUUAAUAAACAUGUCGUCUGAGUCCACGGAUAUAAUGAAAAA